CUUGGAGAUAAUGGAUCAUCCGGGCUUCCUGGCUGGCAGUUUUUAGAGAAAGAACAGAAGAAAACAAGGAGGCCGAUUCAGAUUCCUCUACAAGAGAAGUCAGAAAUUGAACUCUGGCCCUGCAUGAAGUAUAGAUGCAAAAGGAAGAGAAACAUGCUUCUCUGCAUUAUAGUAUCAUCUGGUGGAGAAUUCACAACCAUUUUUUGAUCAUAUCAUGUAGAGUUUGGGAAAGAAGAGAUGAAGUCACUGCGCCUUUAAGUUGCAAGCAAGCAAGAAAGAAAAAAAGGAAGAGUCACAAGGGGCAAGAAAAGACAACAUUAAGUUCUCCUGCAGAAAUGCGCUGUUGCAAAGUAGUGGGAAGAGAUUCUCUGGAGUAAAUGUUUUCCUUUGCCUGAAUUGAGGAAAUUACAUAUGUUGUGGUUUUAAUUUUUUUCCCAAGAUGUAAAUCCAAAAUAAAUAAAUAAAUAGAAGUCCCACGAGC